AACGAACGCUGGCGGCAUGCCUAACACAUGCAAGUCGAACGAGACCUUCGGGUCUAGUGGCGCACGGGUGCGUAACGCGUGGGAACCUGCCCUUAGGUUCGGAAUAACUCCCCGAAAGGGGUGCUAAUACCGGAUAUGUCCUCGGACCAAAGAUUUAUCGCCUUUGGAUGGGCCCGCGUUGGAUUAGCUAGUUGGCAGGGUAAAAGCCUACCAAGGCGACGAUCCAUAGCUGGUCUGAGAGGAUGAUCAGCCACACUGGGACUGAGACACGGCCCAGACUCCUACGGGAGGCAGCAGUGGGGAAUAUUGGACAAUGGGCGAAAGCCUGAUCCAGCAAUGCCGCGUGAGUGAUGAAGGCCUUAGGGUUGUAAAGCUCUUUUACCCGGGAUGAUAAUGACAGUACCGGGAGAAUAAGCUCCGGCUAACUCCGUG
rnacentral:rRNA from 1 species